CCUACGUGAGGCUGCAGUGAGGAAUAUUGGUCAAUGGACGCAAGUCUGAACCAGCCAUGCCGCGUGCAGGAAGACGGUUCUAUGAUUUGUAAACUGCUUUUUUACGAGGGUAAACGCAGAUACGCGUAUCUUUCUGAAAGUAUCGUACGAAUAAGGAUCGGCUAACUCCGUGCCAGCAGCCGCGGUAAUACGGAGGAUUCAAGCGUUAUCCGGAUUUAGUGGGUUUAAAGGGUGCGUAGGCGGUCGGAUAAGUUAGAGGUGAAAUCCCCAGGCUCAACUUCAGAAUUGCCUCUGAUACUGUUAGGCUAGAGAGUAGUUGAGGUAGGCGGAAUGUAUGGUGUAGGGGUGAAAUGCUUAGAGAUCAUACAGAACACCGAUUGCGAAGGCAGCUUACCAGGAUACUUCUGACGUUGAGGCACGAAAGCGUGGGGAGCAAACAGGAUUAGAUACCCGAGUAGUC
rnacentral:rRNA from 1 species